rnacentral:rRNA from 1 species
UACGAAGGGGGCUAGCGUUGUUCGGAAUUACUGGGCGUAAAGCGCACGUAGGCGGAUAUGUAAGUCAGUGGUGAAAUAUGGCAGCUCAACUGUCAGGGUGCCAUUGAUACUGCAGAGCUUGAGUACAGAUGAGGUAGGCGGAAUUGACGGUGUAGCGGUGAAAUGCUUAGAUAUCGUCAAGAACACCGAUAGCGAAGGCAGCUUACUGGGCUGUAACUGACGCUGAGGCACGAAAGUGUGGGGAUCAAACAGG